UACGAGGGGGCAAGCGUUGUUCGGAAUUAUUGGGCGUAAAGAGCUCGUAGGCGGCUUGUUGCGUCAGCUGUGAAAACCCGCAGCUCAACUGUGGGCUUGCAGCUGAUACGGGCAGGCUAGAGUUCGGUAGGGGAGAUCGGAAUUCCUGGUGUAGCGGUGAAAUGACGCAGAUAUCAGGAGGAACACCGGUGGCGAAGGCGGAUCUCUGGGCCGAUACUGACGCUGAGGAGCGAAAGCGUGGGGAGCGAACAGG
rnacentral:rRNA from 1 species